AGGAGCCGUGUGCGUUAAUUGCGCCCGCACGGAUCUGUGAGGGGUGGGUGACAAUUUUGUCAUGGAGCAAAUAUUGUGACACUCUCAGAGGAAACGGAGAGAAACAGGGAACACAAACCUGCUCCUAAAGCAAGAGAGGAGCCCAUCUACUCGAC
rnacentral:autocatalytically_spliced_intron from 1 species